rnacentral:rRNA from 1 species
AGUGAACGCUGGCGGUAGGCCUAACACAUGCAAGUCGAACGGCAGCACAGUAAGAGCUUGCUCUUACGGGUGGCGACUGGCGGACGGGUGAGGAAUACAUCGGAAUCUACUUUUUCGUGGGGGAUAACGUAGGGAAACUUACGCUAAUACCGCAUACGACCUACGGGUGAAAGCAGGGGAUCUUCGGACCUUUCGCGAUUGAAUGAGCCGAUGUCGGAUUAGCUAGUUGGCGGGGUAAAGGCCCACCAAGGCGACGAUCCGUAGCUGGUCUGAGAGGAUGAUCAGCCACACUGGAACUGAGACACGGUCCAGACUCCUACGGGAGGCAGCAGUAGGGAAUAUUGGACAAUGGGCGCAAGCCUGAUCCAGCCAUACCGCGUGGGUGAAGAAGGCCUUCGGGUUGUAAAGCCCUUUUGUUGGGAAAGAAAAGCAGCAGGUUAAUACCCCGCUGUUCUGACGGUACCCAAAGAAUAAGCACCGGCUAACUUCGUG